GGAGUUUGGACCGUGUCUCAGUUCCAAUGUGGGGGACCUUCCUCUCAGAACCCCUACUGAUCGUCGCCAUGGUGGGCCGUUACCCCGCCAUCAAGCUAAUCAGACGCAUCCCCAUCCUAUAGCGGUGAACCUUUGAUUCAAAUUAGAUGUCCGCUUUGAAUAACAUAGAGCAUUAAUCCGACUUUCGCCGGGCUAUUCUCUACUAUAGGGAAGGUUGGAUACGCGUUACUCACCCGUGCGCCGGUCGCCAUCAAAGUUUGCAAGCAAACUUCAUGCUGCCCCUCGACUUGCAUGUGUUAAGCCUGUAGCUAGCGUUCAUC
rnacentral:rRNA from 1 species